rfam:Schizosaccharomyces cryophilus OY26 unplaced genomic scaffold supercont4.1, whole genome shotgun sequence.
GUCUACGGCCGCAUCUAGGCAAAAACACCAGACCAGUUCCCGUUCGAUGACUGCAGUAAAGCAUCUGAGGGUCUCGUUAGUUUCGUGCUAUGGUUGGAGACAACAUGGAAAUCCGGGGUGCCGUAGGCU